GCAACUGACUUGAAGUACAUAGUGCCCUUUCGGCCAAUGCCUUGUGCUGCACUAUGUAUGCUCAACUGUCAAUUGCCAGAUGAAACUGACGGAUUCCAAGAAUACAGUGACUGCAUUUUUGUCACUGCGUUCAUUUCACCCCGUCUACAU
rnacentral:snoRNA from 1 species